rnacentral:pre_miRNA from 1 species
AUCUCCUGGGGAUCUUGUUAAAAUGCAGGUUCUGAUUCCAGAGGUCUGCGGUGGGGUCCAAGAUUCUGCAUUUCUAACAAGCUCCCAGGUGACGGUGA